rnacentral:rRNA from 1 species
ACUUAAAUUGAAGAGUUUGAUCAUGGCUCAGAUUGAACGCUGGCGGCAGGCCUAACACAUGCAAGUCGAGCGGUAGCACAGAGAGCUUGCUCUCGGGUGACGAGCGGCGGACGGGUGAGUAAUGUCUGGGAAACUGCCUGAUGGAGGGGGAUAACUACUGGAAACGGUAGCUAAUACCGCAUAAUGUCGCAAGACCAAAGUGGGGGACCUUCGGGCCUCAUGCCAUCAGAUGUGCCCAGAUGGGAUUAGCUAGUAGGUGGGGUAACGGCUCACCUAGGCGACGAUCCCUAGCUGGUCUGAGAGGAUGACCAGCCACACUGGAACUGAGACACGGUCCAGACUCCUACGGGAGGCAGCAGUGGGGAAUAUUGCACAAUGGGCGC